CAAUAGCGUAUAUUAAAGUUGUUGCGGUUAAAAAGCUCGUAGUUGGAUUUCUACCGAAGACAGCCGGUCCACACUACGUGUGCGCAUCUGGUGUGGCUUUGGUAUCCUCAUGGAGAACAGUUCUGCGCUUCAUUGCGUGGACUGGUAUUCAUGACUUUUACUUUGAAAAAUUAAGAGUGUUCAAAGCAGGCGAUCGCUUGAAUACAUUAGCAUGGAAUAAUAGAAUAGGACUUUGGUUCUAUUUUGUUGGUUUCUAGGACCGAAGUAAUGAUUAAUAGGGACAGUUGGGGGCGAUUAGUAUUUAAUUGUCAGAGGUGAAAUUCUUGGAUUUAUGAAAGACUAACUACUGCGAAAGCAUUUGCCAAGGAUGUUUUCAUUAAUCAAGAACGAAAGUUAGGGGAUCGAAGACGAUCAGAUACC
rnacentral:rRNA from 1 species